rnacentral:misc_RNA from 1 species
AAUAUUACUUUCGAAGAUGACAAUAAAAGACCUGAAUAAUAUCCAUUCAAAAUGUCAAUAAAUACCAUUUACAAAACAUGAUCAUGUUAUGAUCUUAAAAAAUAAAAAUCUCGCUUAGUGACGGAGUUAAUCGACCCACAUAGAUUACAAAUGCAGCAAGAAAAUAUGAAGAAUAUAGUCGAGUUGGCCACUAUAAAAUAGUUUUUAG